UCUCUGGAGGUCCAGUGCUUAGGACUCUACACUUUCACUGUUGAGGCUCCAGGUUCGAUCCCUGAUCAGGGAA
rnacentral:tRNA from 1 species